CCUACGGGAGGCAGCAGUGGGGAAUAUUGGACAAUGGGGGAACCCUGAUCCAGCCAUGCCGCGUGUGUGAAGAAGGCCCUCGGGUUGUAAAGCACUUUCAGUGAGGAAGAACGCCUGGUGGUUAAUACCCAUCAGGAAAGACAUCACUCACAGAAGAAGCACCGGCUAACUCCGUGCCAGCAGCCGCGGUAAUACGGAGGGUGCGAGCGUUAAUCGGAAUUACUGGGCGUAAAGCGCGCGUAGGUGGCUUGAUAAGCCGGUUGUGAAAGCCCCGGGCUCAACCUGGGAACGGCAUCCGGAACUGUCAAGCUAGAGUGCAGGAGAGGAAGGUAGAAUUCCCGGUGUAGCGGUGAAAUGCGUAGAGAUCGGGAGGAAUACCAGUGGCGAAGGCGGCCUUCUGGACUGACACUGACACUGAGGUGCGAAAGCGUGGGUAGCAAACAGGAUUAGAUACCCCUGUAGUC
rnacentral:rRNA from 1 species